UCUUCGGAGAGUUUGAUCCUGGCUCAGGAUGAACGCUGGCGGCGUGCCUAAUACAUGCAAGUCGAGCGAACUGAUUAGAAGCUUGCUUCUAUGACGUUAGCGGCGGACGGGUGAGUAACACGUGGG
rnacentral:rRNA from 1 species